rnacentral:rRNA from 1 species
CUUUCCAGUCCUUAACUGACGCUAAAGCUCGAAAGUGCGGGUAUCGAACAGGAUUAGAUACCCUGGUAGUCCGCACGGUAAACGAUGGAUGCCCGCUGUUGGCGAUACAAUGUCAGCGGCCAAGCGAAAGCGUUAAGCAUCCCACCUGGGGAGUACGCCGGCAACGGUGAAACUCAAAGGAAUUGACGGGGGCCCGCACAAGCGGAGGAACAUGUGGUUUAAUUCGAUGAUACGCGAGGAACCUUACCCGGGCUUGAACUGCAGCUGAACGAUCCAGAGAUGGUGAGGCCCUUCGGGGCAGCUGUGGAGGUGCUGCAUGGUUGUCGUCAGCUCGUGCCGUGAGGUGUCGGCUUAAGUGCCAUAACGAGCGCAACCCUUUUCAUUAGUUGCCAUCAGGUAGAGCUGGGCACUCUGGUGAUACUGCCACCGUAAGGUGUGAGGAAGGUGGGGAUGACGUCAAAUCAGCACGGCCCUUACGUCCGGGGCUACACACGUGUUACAAUGGGUGGUACAGAGAGUUGGUCGUUUGCAAAUGCGAUCUAAUCCUUAAAGCCAUCCUCAGUUCGGAUUGGGGUCUGCAACCCGACCCCAUGAAGCUGG